rnacentral:lncRNA from 1 species
CACUCUCAAAGGAUUAGCUUAUCCACAGGGAUCCCUGUUCUGGAGACACUGUUGUCUGCACAUCUAACUCUGUUGUGGAAAGGUUCCUCUCAGGCUUGAUACACAGGAUCCCAUCCUUGUUAACCACACCAGUCACCCUCUAGCAACCUACUGUGUGCAAGUAUUGCUUUACCUGCAUUAUUUUCUGCAUUUUUCAUAAUCACCAUCUGGGAAGUUGCUUUACAUCUGGUUACUUCAGUUUUCUUUUCAUAGAAGAAAACACCACUGGUGUAGAAGAUUGGGAAAUAUGCAUGAAGAUAUAGCAGGUGCCUGGGGUAAGAUUGAAACACCCAGCAGGAUGGAGCAUGGAAGAGCUGGGAUCAAGCUGGCUUAGAAAGAAGACAUAGCCAGGACAGCGUAGGGACAGCAGCUAACUCGUGGUCUGGGCGCCAAGAGCCAGGACAGUAGCCUUGCCCUUUGGGAGCCCAUGGGAAGGCGAGGUCACUGAAUCGAUGCAACCCUGGGAAGAAAGAUGAGGCUGUCCUCAUCCCAGGGAAGACUUGAGCUGGGCUACUGGACGCUGAUGGACUAUCGAGUGUCCAAACGUCACUCUUGCUGGAACAGAAGGAGCCAGAGGACACUGCAAGCAUCAUGCAUUUCUGGACGUCUUCCCACCUCCCCUGGUCACCAUCCCUGCCCUGCCUCCUAAGCUAGACACCUGGUGUCCUCUUUGUUGCCCCUCCAUGGUUGCCUUCUUCAACUGUCAGAGUUGUUCUUGCCCGUGUAUGACACUCCAGCCUCACUGCUACCUCCAGGGUCAUGAGUGUCACCAGCUCCCUCCAAAACCUUAUAGCCCUCACUGCCCUGUUGGCCACCAUGUAGUGUCAGGAGGGUUGUGAACUGCAGUUAGGGUGCAGUAAAACCCGCACAGGCUUGAACCCUGACUCUGACCCCAUCCAAGCUGGCCAGAGCCUCUGACAUUCACCCUCACUGCCCUCUUCUGUACAAUGGAACACACUGACCUCACAAAGAUGUGUUCACCCAGCACUCUGGGAGGCUGAGACAGGAAGAUCAAAAGUUCAAGCCCAGAUUGAGCAAAUUGGGGAGAGUUUAUCUGAAAAGUAAAAAAAUAAAAUAAAAAUUGGGGAGAGAGAGAGAGA